rnacentral:rRNA from 1 species
UACAGAGGAGCCAAGCGUUGUCCGGAUUGACUGGGCGUAAAGCGCACGCAGGCGGCACCGCGCGUGGGGUGUGAAAUCUGGCCGCUUAACGGCCAGGCGCCAUCCCAUACGGCGGAGCUGGAGUGAUGCAGAGGUCGAUGGAAUUGCCGGUGUAGUGGUGAAAUGCGUAGAGAUCGGCAGGAACACCCAGGGGGAAACCAGUCAACUGGGCAUCUACUGACGCUGAGGUGCGAGAGCGUGGGGAGCGAACGGG